CUGAGAGAUGAUAUUGCAUUAGAUUCCUGAUUAAAUGUCCUGAUUAAAUUAUAUCUAUCAUUCAUAUUUUUGCACUUUACGUAUUUUGGUAAAGAUCUUAUUUAAUCCUUCCCAGGAGAAGGAGAAAAUAAUCUACUCACUGAUUAAUUUUUUGAGUGCCAGGAUACCUGGGGAUUUCACACUCAAAGCAUUUCAGUUUCAAAGGAUGCAGAUGGAUAUGCUGUGAAAUUUUCAAAAGCUGUGAAGUAGUCAAUCAACUAAAUCAACAAGACUUUUCUGAGAUUCAGAAUCCCUGGGUGAUAUAUUCCCAAAUACUAUCUGUGAGUUUCACUGAUUGCUAAGGCCUUCAAUAGUUAAAAAAAACUCCAACCUUGUACAUGGUGAAAUGUUCCAUCAAUUUUAGCCAGCAUGAUUUUGAAUUCUUGAUUUUGUUUAAUUUCAGUGUUUUUUCAUAUGGUUAUAAUUUUUGUGUCUUUCUACUACAUUUGAGGGAUGUUUGGAAAAAAAGCUGGAGGAAGAACAUGGUCAUACCUAUGUUCCAGUAAAAGAAUGAGAAACUUUUCUGUUUUGUUGGUGAUUUGAAUAUGCCUGAAGUGGAUAGAUAUGGAAUGGUUCAGCCUCAUGCAUUGAUUUGUCAGCAUACUAAUCAUAAUACUGGUAGCCACCUUUUAAUUCACCAGGAGUUGUGUCAUAUGGAGAGCCAGAAAGAAUAUUGGAUAAUGCAGCAAACAGAGGAGCACACCCCCUUAUACUCCAUGAUGGUCUUUUCUGGUUUUUUUCUUAUUGACAUGAGAUAAUUUUCCCCUUCUCUGUGAUGAGUGAUGAUUGUGUGCAUUCUCAAAAUGAUUUGUACUUCUUUUGACCAUGCUUUACUCAUCUCCAAGUGUGUUUGGAGCCAGUUUGAUUACAAAAAACCCUUUGCUAUUAGAAGCUUUGUAAAAAUGUGGUAUCUUAAUUGCAACAGAAAAUUUGAACAAAAUAUUAGCUGAUGGAAACUGUGUGAUUAUUCUGAAUUUUAAAAUGUCAAUCCCAAUU
rnacentral:lncRNA from 1 species